UACGUAGGGUGCAAGCGUUAAUCGGAAUUAUUGGGCGUAAAGAGCUCGUAGGCGGCUUGUCGCGUCGGAUGUGAAAGCCCGGGGCUUAACUCCGGGUCUGCAUUCGAUACGGGCAGGCUAGAGUUCGGUAGGGGAGAUCGGAAUUCCUGGUGUAGCGGUGAAAUGCGCAGAUAUCAGGAGGAACACCGGUGGCGAAGGCGGAUCUCUGGGCCGAUACUGACGCUGAGGAGCGAAAGCGUGGGGAGCGAACAGG
rnacentral:rRNA from 1 species